ensembl:lncRNA
AUGUAGUGUCCACAACUAAAGAAGAGAGGGAGUGUGGUGAUGUAGUGUCCACUACUAAAGAAGAGAGGGAGGGUGGUGAUGUAGUGUCCACAACUAAAGAAGAGAGGGAGUGUGGGGAUGUAGUGGUGAUGUAGUGGUGAUGUAGUGUCCACAACUAAAGAAGAGAGGGAGUGUGGGGAUGUAGUGGUGAUGUAGUGGUGAUGUAGUGUCCACAACUAAAGAAGAGAGGGAGUGUGGGGAUGUAGUGGUGAUGUAGUGGUGAUGUAGUGUCCACAACUAAAGAAGAGAGGGAGUGUGGUGAUGUAGUGUCCACAACUAAAGAAGAGAGGGAGUGGAGUGAUGUAGUGUCCACAACUAAAGAAGAGAGGGAGUGUGGUGAUGUAGUGUCCACAACUAAAGAAGAGAGGGAGUGUGGUGAUAUAGUGUCCACAACUAAAGAAGAGAGGGAGUGUGGUGAUGUAGUGUGGUGAUGUAGUGUCCACAACUAAAGAAGAGAGGGAGUGUGGUGAUGUAGUGUCCACAACUAAAGAAGAGAGGGAGUGUGGUGAUGUAGUGUCCACUACUAAAGAAGAGAGGGAGUGUGGUGAUGUAGUGUCCACUACUAAAGAAGAGAGGGAGUGUGGUGAUGUAGUGUGGUGAUGUAGUGUCCACAACUAAAGAAGAG